rnacentral:ncRNA from 1 species
UCCCGGUCCCGCUGAAGCGGGAUAACGGGAAGUAUAGGGAAGUCCGGUGAAAUUCCGGCGCUGUCGCGCAACUGUGAUGAUCGGUAGUUAAAAGUUUGUUUACUGCAUACUGCUUUUUGCCUACUGAUCGAAGCCAGGAGACCUGCCGUAGGAACUA